UGGGGUUGUUGUGAACAAAAUCCAGGACCCGAAACUUGGCCUAUUGAAACUCAUGCCAUUAACCUUGGCUCAUUGAUCCAGUCUAUCCAGGUGCGUCUGUAGUGCCUUUCUGCCCUCAGGCAGAUCAACAUUCCCUCCCAACUUGGUGUCAUCUGCAAAUUUACUGAGGGUGCACUCAAUCCCCUCAUCAAGAUCAUCAAGAUAUUGAAGAGGACAGGCCCCAGCACCGACCCCUGGGGAACACCACUCAUGACCAGUCACCAGCUGGAUUUAACUCCAUUCACCACCACUCUCUGGGCCCGGCCCUCCAGCCUGUUCCUUACCCAGCUAAGAGUGUACCUGUCCAAGCCACAGACUGCCAGCUUCUGCAGGAGUAUACUGUGGGAGACAGUGUCAAAGGCUUUGCUGAAGUCUAGGUAGACCACAUCAACAGCCUUUCCCUCAUCCAGCAGACGGGUCACUGGAUCAUAGAAGGAGAUCAGGUUGGUCAAGCAGGACCUGCCCUUCGUGAACCCAUGCUGGCUAGGCCUGAUCCCCCUCAAGACAAUCUGCUCUAUAACCUUUCCUAGAACCAAGGUCAGGCUAACAGGCCUGUACUUCCUCG
ensembl:lncRNA